rnacentral:rRNA from 1 species
UACGUAGGGGGCAAGCGUUGUCCGGAUUUAUUGGGCGUAAAGAGCGUGUAGGCGCCAUACAGGUCCGUUGUGAAAACUGGAGGCUUAACCUCCAGACGUCGAUGGAAACCGUAUGGCUAGAGUCCGGAAGAGGAGAGUGGAAUUCCUGGAUGUAGCGGUGAAAUGCGCAGAUAUCAGGAAGAACACCCGUGGCGAAGGCGGCCACUGGCGGGU